rnacentral:rRNA from 1 species
CCUACGGGAGGCUGCAGUGGGGAAUAUUGCACAAUGGGCGCAAGCCUGAUGCAGCCAUGCCGCGUGUAUGAAGAAGGCCUUCGGGUUGUAAAGUACUUUCAGUCGUGAGGAAGGUGUUAAGGUUAAUAACCUUAGCAAUUGACGUUAGCGACAGAAGAAGCACCGGCUAACUCCGUGCCAGCAGCCGCGGUAAUACGGAGGGUGCGAGCGUUAAUCGGAAUUACUGGGCGUAAAGGGCACGCAGGCGGUUAAUUAAGUUGGGUGUGAAGUCCGCGGGCUGAAACGGGGAAUGGCCUUGCAGAAUGGUUAGGUAGAGUAUUGAAAGGGGGGGAAGAAUUCCAUGUGUAGCGGUGAAAUUCGUAAAGAUGUGGAGGAAUACCGGUGGCGAGGGCGGCUCCCUGGACAAAGACUGACGCUCAGGUGCGAAAGCGUGGGGAGCAAACAGGAGUAGAUACCCUGGUAGUC